UACGUAGGUCCCGAGCGUUGUCCGGAUUUAUUGGGCGUAAAGCGAGCGCAGGUGGUUUAUUAAGUCUGGUGUAAAAGGCAGUGGCUCAACCAUUGUAUGCAUUGGAAACUGGUAGACUUGAGUGCAGGAGAGGAGAGUGGAAUUCCAUGUGUAGCGGUGAAAUGCGUAGAUAUCGGGAGGAACACCAGUAGCGAAGGCGGCCAUCUGGCUGGUAACUGACGCUGAGGUGCGAGAGCGUGGGGAGCAAACAGG
rnacentral:rRNA from 1 species